ACAUUGCUAGCUACCCACUUAAUAUUAUAUAUUUUUUCUGUUCUUCCUCAGUGACAUAUAUUUAUUCAUUUGGAUAAUCACCAAUAUAAUCAACAAAAAAGACUUAAUUUUUCUAACCUUCCUUUUUGAAGCUUUGAAAUAUUCUUGUCUCCUCCUAUAUGUUCAGUCUUCACCAAAUUAUGAACAUUCUGCUACAGUUAUCUG
rnacentral:lncRNA from 1 species